UGGGGAAUAUUGCACAAUGGGCGGAAGCCUGAUGCAGCGACGCCGCGUGAGGGAUGAAGGCCUUCGGGUUGUAAACCUCUUUCAGCAGGGACGAAGCGUGAGUGACGGUACCUGCAGAAGAAGCACCGGCUAACUACGUGCCAGCAGCCGCGGUAAUACGUAGGGUGCGAGCGUUGUCCGGAAUUACUGGGCGUAAAGAGUUCGUAGGCGGUUUGUCGCGUCGUUUGUGAAAACCCGGGGCUCAACUUCGGGCUUGCAGGCGAUACGGGCAGACUUGAGUGUUUCAGGGGAGACUGGAAUUCCUGGUGUAGCGGUGAAAAUGCGCAGAUAUCAGGAGGAAACACCGGUGGCGAAAGGCGGGUCUCUGGGGAAAACAACUGACGCUGAGGAACGAAAGCGUGGGUAGCAAAACAGGAUUAGAUACCCUGGUAGUCCACGCCGUAAAACGGUGGGCGCUAGGUGUGGGUUCCUUCCACGGG
rnacentral:rRNA from 1 species